rnacentral:rRNA from 1 species
UACGUAGGGGGCAAGCGUGGUCCGGAUUUAUUGGGCGUAAAGCGCGUGUAGGCGGCCAGGUAGGUCCGCUGUGAAAACCCGAGGCUCAACCUCGGGACGUCGGCGGAAACCAUUUGGCUAGAGUCCGGAAGAGGAGAGUGGAAUUCCCGGUGUAGCGGUGAAAUGCGCAGAUAUCGGGAAGAACACCCGUGGCGAAGGCGGCUCUCUGGAACGCAACUGACGCUGAGACGCGAAAGCGUGGGGAGCAAACAGG